UACGUAGGGUGCAAGCGUUAAUCGGAAUUACUGGGCGUAAAGCGUGCGCAGGCGGUGAUGUAAGUCAGGUGUGAAAUCCCCGGGCUCAACCUGGGAACUGCAUUUGUGACUGCAUCGCUGGAGUGCGGCAGAGGGGGAUGGAAUUCCGCGUGUAGCAGUGAAAUGCGUAGAUAUGCGGAGGAACACCGAUGGCGAAGGCAAUCCCCUGGGCCCGCACUGACGCUCAUGCACGAAAGCGUGGGGAGCAAACAGG
rnacentral:rRNA from 1 species